GUGGUAGUUAUGUGCUUGAAACCUAAAGGAUUUGGCGGUGUUUUAGUCCUUUCAGAGGAACCUGUCUUAUGAUCGAUAGUCCCCGUUUUAUCUUGCUUAUUUUAGUUUAAAUCAGUAUGUAUAUCUCCGUUAUAAGUUUAUUUUUUGAGAAUUAUUAAUUUACUAAUAAUUUUAUUUUAUAAUAUUUCAAGCAAGGUGCAGA
rnacentral:rRNA from 1 species